rnacentral:rRNA from 1 species
UAACACGUGGGCAACCUACCUAGUAGAUUGGGAUAACUCCGGGAAACCGGGGCUAAUACCGAAUAAUUCAUUUCACCUCAUGGUGAGAUGCUGAAAGGCGGUUUCGGCUGUCACUACUAGAUGGGCCCGCGGUGCAUUAGCUAGUUGGUGGGGUAAUGGCCUACCAAGGCAACGAUGCAUAGCCGACCUGAGAGGGUGAUCGGCCACAUUGGGACUGAGACACGGCCCAAACUCCUACGGGAGGCAGCAGUAGGGAAUCUUCCACAAUGGACGAAAGUCUGAUGGAGCAACGCCGCGUGAGUGAUGAAGGUUUUCGGAUCGUAAAACUCUGUUGUAAGGGAAGAACAAGUACGUUAGUAACUGAACGUACCUUGACGGUACCUUAUU